rnacentral:tRNA from 1 species
GGUAAAGUAGUUUAAGUUAGAAUCCUUGUUUUACACGUAGGGGGUGGGGUUAUCCCUAUUAUCA